UCUACAAAUGAGAAGGGAGAAGUCAAGAUAAGCACUAAAUAGAGGAUAUAUUAUUUACUAGCCUCAUAUGCAGUAAGCCACAAAUUGCUGAGUUGUACAUCUGGCAAUCUGAAUUCCCUGAUUUCAUACUGAAAUGCUAUUAAGAAACAAAGGAAGUAUUCUCUUAACGUGUUUUUUCUUUUAAAGGUGACAUAUAGAAUAUAGCUACCCCCACAAUAUGUGUGUGUAUACAUAUUUAUAUGUAUUUUAAUGGGUAACCUAGAGUUAGGCCAUUUCAGAAUGUCUAUUUAUAAUUUUUUCAAUUCAUCAUUCAUUCAUCCAUUCAGUCAGUCAGUCAGGCAGUCAAUCAGUCACUCAACUGACAUAGAUCAUACAUGUUAAGACUACCGUGUUCACAUUUCUUUUUUAAAUGUGUAGGAUGUUAUGGAAAGAAAGCUGAGCCAAAACCGCAGCCAACAUUUGACAAAAUGAAUAUGUCCAUUUUUAGCACAAAAAUAAAACCUGUGAGAGCUCUUUAUUGCAUGGAACCUGUAAGACAACUGUCACUAAAAAGGAAGCUCUUGAAAUCUUUUUUGUUUUGCAAGUACAGGAAUCCACAUUCAAUGGUAAUCAAAAGCCAGUGAAAGAGGAAAAACAAUAACCUACAGGUUUCAGUCUGGAUCUUCUGAUGUAAUAAAUUAUCUGAAAACCAAUAAAUUAAAUUCUACUAUCAGAAAGGUCUUAGUAUGUUAGCUCUUAAAACAACAAGUAACAAGUGAAUAUUAGAAAGGACAAAAGCAGAUGAAAUUACUUUUCCUCAUAGAAAAUUAUGCAAAGAGAACCUAAAGUUUUGGUUUUCUUUUUUACAUGCAGUGAAACUGAGUUGUGGAACAGUCUGUCCUGAACACAUUCUCAUAGAAAUGGCAAUAUCAAAGUUAUGUGCUAAUGACAUUAUAGUGCCACCAGUUAACUUACUGCUUUUCUCCCUUCCACAAGCAGGUUCGCCUCUCCUUCCUAACCCAAACAGUCACAUUCGCCAGCUGCCAAGCAACUACUGAAAAUCUAAGAAUGCUCAGAUGAUAAUUACUGAAGCAUCAUGAUACGUAUCAUUCACAAUAUAAACAUUUUGGCCUCCUUGACCUUAAAAUAAAGCUACAUCAUGCACUGCAGGGAAUCACAUCAAGGUUUUGAAUUCAAGGUUUUAAUAGAUCCCAUCUAUCAGUAAAAAUACAUGCAUAAAUACUUUUACAUGGAAAAUACUGUGAUCUGUCUGAAAAUUCUAAACAGAUGAAGCACUUCUCAAAGAGCACAAAAUAUUUAUCUUCUUCAUAAUCUCACAGAGAAUUUAAUUAAAAAUGGUUGCUAAUUCACAGCAACUGACUGCAGAAAAUUAAUUCUUUAAUCUCAGUAUUUCUUCUGUUCACAAAAGGUUUCCUCAUAGAUGUAUAAGAAUCUGACUUCUGAUACCAAAGCAUAAGGACACAUGAAAAGUAAAAUUGUUUCAUCACAUGAUUAGACAGUUUGGUUCAUUGUUCCGAGGGACAGACCAAAGAAAAUAUCAUCAUGCAAAUGUGUUUUAAUGGUGUUUGCUCAACUCACGGAAGAUUAAUCUUUAGAAAAAGGAGAGGGUGGGGAAUAAUGUAUCAGGAUUACUGGAAGCAAAAUACAUGAAUAAUACUAAAAUCCAGCAGAUUUGUAUGAAGCAGAGAAAGGAAACCUAUGUUCAAGGGACAUACUAUGCAACACUCUAAUUAACAGGCAUUUGUGAACAGUUUCAUGAAACAUGCAAUAAAGCAGAUGAUGCUUUCUCCAAUAAAAGUUUGGUGUAGGAUAUACUAGUCUGAAACAUAUUAAUUCCAUGAAAGCUGCAGCUCCCUGUUAAUAUACAGUUUUGCCCUAAUGUAACUCAAUUUCCAUAUGCAGUGUCUAAAAUUUUUUUGCUAUCUUAUAAAACUGCACUUGCAGUUCAAAUGAAAAUACAAUUUUAUCUGUAAAUUCUUACAGCUACAGCCUGUACAAGGAAUAGUAAUCUCUAUCAAAGUGUGUUCUCAUAAUUGUUUUCAUAAUUAAUUACAUAGCAAGCUACAGCAAAGCCAGUAAUUUUCUUGCACAUAUUAGUGGCACACAGUAAAAUAUCCCACAACAAACGUAUAAUACGUACACCACACUCAACAUUUAUUUGCAGUUAUCCAUCCCCAUUUAAAGGAACUAUUAAGAGAAUAAUAAAUAAAUAAAUAAAUAAAUAAAUAAAUAAAAGAAAGUUAAGUGUUUGGAUGCUUCCAAAAAUUCUCUUAGCAAUGAUGGAAGCAAACAUUUAAGUAUUGGAUGCUUCUCAGUUACAGGUAUUACACAUCCAUCAGUGCAGAGGAAGGAAGUCAGGGCAGGGGCAGGGGUAAGGAAAAUUUAUAUUUUUAUACUAUUCCAUGGUAUAUUUCACAACAAGUAGGUAUUUACUCCAAAACUACAUUUUCAAAAAGUAGUACCUAUAAUAUGCCAUACAACUAGGUAAUUUAUCCUUCAACUUCACCUUCCAUACUAAAUGGGGGUUAAGGAGCAGAGAAAGUGCAGCUUGUAAGUUUAGAGAAUACUGGAGGAAAAAUAUGCAAGGAAAAAUCUCUCUCCAAAUUAUCUCUUGCUUUGCUCAAAAAAUGUAACUGUGCCAUUGUAUUUGCAUCAUUUUCAAUCAUGUCGGAUAUAAUAACUAAACUAUUAUUUUCUUACAGUUUUCAAACUGUAAGAUGAAAAAAUAAAAUUCCUAAUUAGUAAAAUAGUAAAUCGUAAAACCAUCACAUUAUUAAUAAAUUUUUCCUAGAGUAUGGAAGGUGCUUGUUAUACCAGAACAUGCCCUCUAUAAAUGCAAAAGAAACAAGCCUCAGAGAUUUCAAUUCAGUAAGGUAUUUGGGGAUUGCUCCCAAUUUGGAAUUCAAAGCUGUGCACCAGAACAUAAAAUAUGCAUGCCAUUAUUCUUUUCAGAAAUUUGUUAUUAAGUGACCAGGUAAUAGAAAUUAAAUAUAAUAUAAUUUCAGUUACAUUGUGGUAAAACUGCCAUCAUAGAUCUAGAUUUUUGUGUAUGAUAUUACAAUUUUAUCUUAAAAUAAAAGACUGCAUUUUUUGUAAAUUCAAAGAGUUCAUUAUUUGUUUUAUAUAUGCCAAUGAAAUUUGUUUCCAACACUAGACAUAUAUAUACAGUACACAUGUAAGGACACGUGUAUAUCAAAAGCAGUGAGAAAUAAGUCUUUAGGGGUUACUGCAUACAUUUGUCAUACUUAAUAAGUAAAUAAAAGUGGACGAAUAAUUACACAGACUAUAAAUAGAUAUAAAAAAUGUUAUAAAAGGAAAAACCAAUGACUUUUAGAAUCUAGAUAUAUGAUAUGCUGCAAGACUGAGACUUGUAAGAGCUUCUGCAAAACAGAGUUGCUUUUGCUUAUAAAAGCCAAAUACAUAGCAAAAAAGUCAGUUCUGGUGUGGUUCCCCUAUGCAAUUUUAAAAACGAUUAUUAAAAAAAAUCUCUAAUUUCCUUCACCAUGUACAGUUAAUUUUUUGGGUACCUGU